UACGGAGGGGGCAAGCGUUGUUCGGAAUUACUGGGCGUAAAGGGCGCGUAGGCGGCCGGUUGCGUCGGAUGUGAAAGCCCUGGGCUCAACCCGGGAAUGGCACUCGAUACGGGCUGGCUUGAAGUCGGAAGAGGAGAGUGGAAUUCCCAGUGUAGAGGUGAAAUUCGUAGAUAUUGGGAAGAACACCGAUGGCGAAGGCAGCUCUCUGGUCCGACCUUGACGCUGAGGCGCGACAGCGUGGGGAGCAAACAGG
rnacentral:rRNA from 1 species